UAGGAGGCGGGAGAGGCGGACGGUACUCCGCGGGUAGGGGUAAAAUCCUUUGAUCCGCGGAAGACCACCAGUGGCGAAGGCGGUCCGCCAGAACGCGCUCGACGGUGAGGGGUGAAAGCUGGGGGAGCGAACCGGAUUAGAUACCCGGGUAGUCCCAGCCGUAAACGAUG
rnacentral:rRNA from 1 species